rnacentral:misc_RNA from 1 species
CGGAGGUUCAGUCCUCCCAGGCCCACCACUUCCUCCGCCCGCAUGAUCCCAAAAAGUUGCAGACUUUUUGGAUAAGAUUAUGCGUCUGGGGCAUGAAGGUUAUCAGGGGCCGUAGCUCAGCUGGGAGAGCGCCUGCUUUGCAAGCAGGAUGUCGUCGGUUCGAUCCCGUCCGGCUCCACCAACCAUCUUCUGCGAAGAUGGGGCGUGUCGAGUAGAGACGGUGAGAAAAAAGUCAUUCGAAAAAGAGUUUGCGUCGAGCCCUGUGCUCUGCGCCUGUUCUGUUUGACAUCGUAAAGAGAAGAUUUGUUCGAACUUCAUGAGCCGCAAGGUCUCAUGAUUUGUCGCUGGAGACGCUCAAUCUCCAGCAUAUGAUGGGUUUGCCUAACCGCGCCCUCGAACGGAUCUCGAGAAGCUGGUCUUUUUGUGCCAAUUCCAUUGAAGCAGAUCUCGCACAGGAUCUGGUUCGAGGCGACGAUCCCUGCGGGAUCGCGCUUAGCCAAUCCCGCAAGGGGUUUGGCUUGAACGACGAUCCCUUCGGGAUCGCGUGAUGGGUAUUGGCAAUGAGAACGAUCAAGUGUCUUAAGGGCAAUUGGUGGAUGCCUUGGCAUGCACAGGCGAUGAAGGACGUGAUACGCUGCGAUAAGCUACGGGGAGGUGCGAAUACCCUUUGAUCCGUAGAUCUCC